CAGUAGCCGCGGUAAAACGAGGGGUGCAAGCGUUAUUCGGAUUGAUUGGGUGUAAAGGGUGUGCAGACGGCUUAUUAAGUCACUUGUUAAAUUCUUCGGCCUAACUGAAGGUCUGCAAGUGAUACUGAUGAGCUAGAGGGUGGAAGAGAGAAGUGGAAUUCUCGGAGUAGCGGUAAAAUGCGUAGAUCUCGAGAGGAACACCAAUGGCGAAGGCAGCUUCUUGGUCCAUUCCUGACGUUCAUACACGAAAGCGUGGGGAGCAAACAGGAUUAGAUACCCCCGUAGUCCCUGUCUCUUAUAC
rnacentral:rRNA from 1 species